UGCCAUAUAAUACAACUCUCAAGGUUAUAUUUACAAAUAAAACCACUAAACAAUGGAGAGAUUGAAUAUUCUUGCCAUCUUUUUGCUCGUGACUACCUCUUUGGCAGUGCCAACAUGGGGAAGGAUGGAAAACACCAAAAAUGAGAAACAAGAAAUACUAGCUGAGGUGAAGAAGAUGGAAAUGGGACAAAAUUUAAGGUUAUACCGGUGGUUGUAAAAGAAGAAGUGGUGGAAAUAGUGGAAGAGCCGCCAAAGACGGCGAGGUUGCGCGGUUGCGCCCGAGUGCGUGAAAAUUGUGUACAUGUCUCAUGCUGUCAGACUAGCGAUAAUGGAAAUCCCGUCAUUUGUUCUAGAG